rnacentral:lncRNA from 1 species
GAUCACAGCACAUUCAACAGUUGGGUCCAGAGUCCCCUACGUCUGGAAGUUGGAGCAGACCCUCUCACACUCUAGGAGCCCACAUGGAGGCAAGGCGAGGGGCGGCAGUAUGUGGGUGGUUUAUUAGAAAGUGAAGCCUGGAGGCAUGUGAAGGAUGGUCAGCGAUAGUAAAGAAGGACUGGGAAGAAAGAGCAACCAGGAGGUUCAGCUGUGCAGCACCUGUCUCCCUCCCUGCUUCUGGGGCACCCCCCGCAUGAGUGGUACUGAUGGAACCCCGAGCACUGCUCCUCUCUACAGCAGUAAAGGUGGGUUCCUCCCUCCCUCCACGCUCCAGCUCAUAUCCUGGAUUCAACCAUCUGGAUGCUGGGAUGGUUAUGUUAUAUGUCAACUUGGCUAGGCCAUGGUACUUAGAUGUUUGGUUAAGUGCUAGUCUAGAAAUUACUGUGAAGGUAUUUUUUUAGAUGAGAUUAACAUUUAAAUUG